rnacentral:tRNA from 1 species
UUAAUUGAAGCCAAAAAGAGGCUUAUCACUGUUAAUGAUAGAAAUGAUUUAUAAAAAUCCAAUUAAG